UGGAUAGUAAGGCAGGAAUAAGGGACUGCUACCUGGACCUAGGUUCGUUCCCUGAAGAUCACUGGAUUCCUGCUACUGCCCUCAUUGAUAUGUGGGUUGAGCAGUACAAACUUGAUGAAGAUGAUGAUGCCAUUUUCAACCUCCAUGAACUCUCUACCAGGAAUCUAGUUAAUCUUGUAGUCGUGAGGUAUGCUAGUCAGUUCUUACUUUCUAUCUACUGUAACUUUAGCAUCCAUGUCCUGCCAUUCUCAUUUUAUUCUCUUCAAUCUAUCCAUAUUAUAGGGUUUCUCCCGUUGUACCCUAUAAUUCCAUUAAUCUGAAUGUAAAUCAAGCAGGACAGAUCUUCAACCUUGCUUCCCUUAUCAGAUAGGCACUAAGUUAUUGUUUAUGGUACAUGUUUGAAUCUCUACCCAACAGAUUUCUUUUUGCUUAUUCACCAGGAAAGAUGCACGUGAAGCUGAUGGCUACUACAAAGAGCACUUUGUCACGCAACAUGAUCUUCUCAGAGAGCUGGCUAUCUAUCAGAGCAGCUUGGACCCCGUGGAAAAAAGAAAGAGGUUAAUUGUAGAGCUAAGCCGCAACAAUUUUCCCAAUUGGUGGUUGGAAGAAAAGCAGCAAACUCUUGGUGCCCGCCUUUUGUCUAUCUCCACAGGUUGUUAUCUCUACCUUCAGACACAUGCACACACAAUAAGAAAUUUAGUCCUUCUACCCUAAGUUCUCGUGCCAUUUUUUACCUCAUCACAGAUGAAACAUUCACAUUCAGCUGGGGCAACAUCCAAGCACCAGAAGUUGAGGUUGUAGUUCUCAAUUUUCGGACGAAGAACUACACCUUGCCUGUCUUCAUGGAGAAAAUGGAUAAAUUGAAGGUUUUGAUAGUCACGAAUAGCAGUUUCUACCCAGCUGAAUUAAGUAACUUUCUGCUUCUGUGUUCUUUAUCGAAUCUAAGGAGAAUUAGGUUAGAGAAGGUGUCAGUUCCUUCCCUCAGCAUGAGCUCUUUACACCUAAAGAAUUUGGAAAAAAUAUCCUUAUAUAUGUGUAAUAUCGGUCAGGCUUUUGGGAAUGGCACUAAGAAGAUGUCAGAUAUUUUUCCGAAUCUUUUGGAAAUUGACAUUGACUAUUGUGAUGAUCUGGUGGAACUGACUGAUGGGUUGUGUGAUCUUGUUCAUCUGAUGAAGCUCAGUAUCACUAACUGCCACAAGCUUUGUGCACUGCCUGAAGGCAUUGGAAAGCUGGUAAACUUAGAAGUGCUAAGGCUAGCAUCCUGUACCGAUCUCGUGAGGUUGCCCGAGACCAUUGGGAGCUUAUCCCAGCUUAAUAUUUUUGACAUUUCCGACUGCCUGAGCAUCAUCAACAUGCCGGUCCAGAUUGGGGAACUGCACAAUCUAAGGAAGCUCUAUAUGAGAGGGUGCUCUAGUUGUAACCUACCUCCAACAAUCACAAAGCUUCAACGUUUGAAGGAUGUCAUAUGCGAUGAGGAGACUGCCUAUCAAUGGGAUUGUUUCAAAUCCUAUCUCAGCAAUCUAAGGGUAACAGUUCAUGAAGAAGACAUCAACUUGAACUGGCUCCGGACUUGUUUUUAAGAUUCCUCUCUUCUCAUGUGGUGCUGGAGCCUCCUUUCUUUUCAUAUACGUUAGUCUCCUUUACGUAUUUAUCACCACUCAUUGAAAUUUAGUGGUUAGGUUGGAAGACACUCCAACCAAACAAAUUUAUUUUUAUUAUUAAAAAAAAAUUGAUUGUAGAACAUAAUUAAAAAGAAAACCCCUUUCGACAACUUAGCCAGAAAAUGAACAAUAAUUUGGAAUACUAAAUGAGUUUCAAUAUGGACAAUUAAUUUUUUUUCUUACUCUAAACCUGUGGUAGUUACAUAAUACUACCAAGAAACCAACUCUACAUAAAAACUUGAAAGGUACGUGUUACACAAAGUAAAACACUCCAUAGCAGCAGAAGCAGCUAUCGCGCUAGACACAGUAAAUUUAUUCAACUUAGAAACCAUGCUCAUUUCCUUCAUUCUGUACAGCUCCAAAGCUUCUUUAGGCCUAUCGAAACGAACAUAACCCGAAAUCAUCGCGGUCCACGAGAAAUUAUCUCUUUCAGGCAUUUCAUCAAACAACUUAUUUGCUUCUUUAAGCAUUCCCAUUUUAGCAUACCCAGACAUCAAAGUGUUCCAAGAACACAAAUCCCUGUCACUCAUUUCAUCGAAAACAUUCUGGGCAUCUGCCAAACUCCCGCACUCGGCGUACAUAUAAAAGGCGGUUAUAAAUAACUACGCCGGCUGAAAACCCAGAAAUUUUUUUAUGUUGGUGAACUGAUUUGCCCUCGUUAAGAGCUCUGUUUUGGCAGCAAAGCUGGAUAAGAGCGGAGUAGAGAGAAGCUGGGGGUUUCUCGAUUUGAUUGAGGAUUUGAAUAGCUUCUUUUAAGAGUUUCUGGUUCCAUAAAUUAUGUAAUUGGUUUAUUAGAUUGUCUUUGGUGUUUGGUUUGAAAAAUGUUUUCUGAGGGAAAUGUUUAUGAAUUUAGGUUUGGGAAGAAAACCAAGAAGAGAAUAUUGCUCUGUUUUUGUGAAACAAAGAUAAAGAAUUGGAAAUUCUGGAAUUUAUUGAUUUCAUUGUUUUAAGAAAUUUUCGUGUAAAAUGUGGUUUCCGCUAUGGUGAUGAUUUUCUACUUUUAGUGUGAAAUUUGAAAUCAAGACUUUUAUAGAGAGAUGGAAGCCUGAUUCAAGGUGAAUUUGGGCCAAAACACGAGCAACAAGCUCAAUGUUAAAACCCAAUCCAAAAGAUUGUUUACAUUAAUAUUAAUUAUAAAUACAUUUUAAUUUACAUUUAGUUAAAAUUUAUUUAUUAUUAUUUUUUUGGGUGCUGUUCUUUUCGUCCAUCACAUGUUGGGAGUUGGGACAUGGGAGUGGGAAAAGUAGUUUCAGUGUUUCACAGUAAAUCUUAAGACGCACGCCUAGGCUUUGUCCUUUUUCUGACUGUGACCAAGGCGUCGGAGACCUUAGCUAAACAACCAUUUUAAGAGCUCGUAAGAAGGGAGGCCAGCAUUAAUAGACUUUCGUCAACAUUAACUCGACUAUUUUCCACUCUUUAGGUCCCAUUAUAAUUAAAGUAAAGAUUCCCGUACCCGAAGGAAAUUUCCAGGGGGCAGGAGCUUCUUCAUUAAGGAAUAUGGGGAAUAUAUAUAUAUAUAUAAAAAAAAGCGGAUUCCUUUAUUUGGGGAAUUCUUGCCAAGUUCAGAUGAAAACAUUAAUAUUUCUUGAAUUUUGGUUCUUGGGGUUUCCACAAAGAUUUUUAUGGCAGCAGCUUUGGUCGGAGGAGCGGCCUUAGGGGCAGUUUUUGGAGAGCUGCUUAGAGCCGUUGUAGAAGCGAGGAAAACACUUGCCCAGUUCCGUGAUGCCUUGGCGGAACUGGAAUCCACGCUAUCAUCCAUACAGCCAACAAUCAAAGCCAUAGAAUCACUCAACAAACUUCAUGACAGGGAGCACGAAAUGAAACCGUUCAUGGAAAUCAUUUGUACAGGAGAGAAACUUGUCAGGCAGUGCUUCAAAGUCCAUAGGUGGAACUUCCCCAAGAAGACUUGUUAUACAUACAAACUUCGUGGAUUGAAGAAAAAGCUCGACAGCUUCUGUCUGAUUAAUAUGCAAAUACAGCUAUUAAGAGACAACAAAGAAACGUCUUAUAAAAUGGAACAACUUGCUGGGGAAGUGAGAAGAUUGAGUUCCAAAGGGGCGUCCGGUAGCGACAAUGGGACGUUUAGUGAGGUUGCAGUUGUGGGUUCAUGCGAACCUCCUAAGCCUCAAGGGGAAGUUGUUGGAUUCGAUGCGCCCUUGACCGAGCUAAAGAUGAAGCUUUUUAAAGAUGGGGUGUCGGUCAUUGUUGUGUCUGCUCAGGGUGGAUCCGGGAAGACAACCUUGGUUCAAGAGCUAUGUCGGGAUGAAGGAGUCAAAGGUAUCAUUUCCUGUGCUUAGCUUUGUUUAUGCUUGAUUUUUAGUUUCUGGUUCUUGACUGGUUUGAUUAUUAGAUGCACAUCUGUUGAUUUGGUUAUGUCACAAGUGGAAACCAGAGUGGAAUGGCUAGCUUAACUUGAAUAAAUUUUGGAAGUAGGAGAAAAUGUUUCUUCUGAAAAUUCAUUUGGAAUAGUUGUGAAUCCUUUGGAAGACGUUAUUUGUCAAAUCCAAUUGAAUUAAACACUUUGCCAUGUAAGACUUCGAGUGUAGAAUAACUAGAUAACUGUUCAAGCAUUUGGUAAAGAUAUUUUAUGAGUAAUUUUGAUUGUAGUUGGAAUGAUUUCCUUUGUGCGGUCCUUCAACUGGAAUUCUACUGAGGCAAGCGAUUGAGAAAUUUUGGAUUCUAUUUUACCAAAUUUUCAUGCAUUAAAAUCGGGGAAUAUGUUUGUCACUUGCAAAAUGCUAUAAAUUAUCUUUGAAACUUUGCCAGAUUUCUAAUGCGAUGUUUGAACAGGAAAAUUUAAAGAAAACAUCUUCUAUGUGACUGUUUCAAAGGCACCCAACCUGGAGGUCAUUUUGCAGAAAUUACUCCGGCUUAAGGAUUCUAGAAUGCCUGAAUUUCAGAAUGAGGAGGAUGCCCUGAACCACUUGGAACAAAACUUCAGGAAAAUGGCAACCAAUCCCAUAUUACUCAUCCUGGACGAUGUUUGGUCUGGAUCUGAAUCCCUUGUUGAGAAGUUAAAGUUUACAUUGCCAGAUUACAAGAUCUUGGUAACAUCAAGAUUUGCCUUUCCAAGAUUUGAUUUUACAUAUCGUCUGAAACCAUUAAAUGAUGAUGAUGCUAUGACUCUGUUUCGUCACUUUGCAUUCUCGAAAGAUGUGGAUCCUGACAUUUCAGAUGAUCUCGUGAAUAAGGUAUUUUUAUCAAUCUGAAGACUCGUUCUAACUUUCACCCCUUGUAUGAAACUUUGAACACUUUCAUACUUCACUGUUGAUUUGCCACUGUAAUUUAGAUUAAAGAUCGAAAGGUUCAAAUCUUUAUAUUUGUAUACCAAGGUCGGUUUAAUUAAAGUGUUUUCCUGAACCUCCAAAAAAUGACUUUGAUGUUGUGUAACGAAUUUUAGGUAAUGAAAAGCUGUAAGGGACUCCCACUGGCCCUUGACGUGGUUGGUAGAUCACUUCGUGGGCAACCUGUUACAAUCUGGCGACGUAGAGCAAAGCAGCGGUCUAAAGGAGAAUCCAUCUUUAAUUCUAGCAAUGAGCUGCUUACUUGUCUUCAAAGCAGUUUAGAUGCGUUGGAUAGUAAGGCAGGAAUAAGGGACUGCUACCUGGACCUAGGUUCGUUCCCUGAAGAUCACUGGAUUCCUGCUACUGCCCUCAUUGAUAUGUGGGUUGAGCAGUACAAACUUGAUGAAGAUGAUGAUGCCAUUUUCAACCUCCAUGAACUCUCUACCAGGAAUCUAGUUAAUCUUGUAGUCGUGAGGUAUGCUAGUCAGUUCUUACUUUCUAUCUACUGUAACUUUAGCAUCCAUGUCCUGCCAUUCUCAUUUUAUUCUCUUCAAUCUAUCCAUAUUAUAGGGUUUCUCCUGUUGUACCCUAUAAUUCCAUUAAUCUGAAUGUAAAUCAAGCAGGACAGAUCUUCAACCUUGCUUCCCUUAUCAGAUAGGCACUAAGUUAUUGUUUGUGGUACAUGUUUGAAUCUCUACCCAACAGAUUUCUUUUUGCUUAUUCACC
rnacentral:lncRNA from 1 species